ACCUGCCCCUGANUUCNGGAUAAGCCNGGGAAACUGGGUCUAAUACCGGAUACGACCAACCCUCGCAUGAGGGUUGGUGGAAAGUUUUUUCGAUCAGGGAUGGGCUCGCGGCCUAUCAGCUUGUUGGUGGGGUAAUGGCCCACCAAGGCGACGACGGGUAGCCGGCCUGAGAGGGCGACCGGCCACACUGGGACUGAGACACGGCCCAGACUCCUACGGGAGGCAGCAGUGGGGAAUAUUGCACAAUGGGGGAAACCCUGAUGCAGCGACGCAGCGUGCGGGAUGACGGCCUUCGGGUUGUAAACCGCUUUCAGCAGGGAAGAAGCGAAAGUGACGGUACCUGCAGAAGAAGUACCGGCUAACUACGUGCCAGCAGCCGCGGUAAUACGUAGGGUACGAGCGUUGUCCGGAAUUAUUGGGCGUAAAGAGCUCGUAGGUGGUUGGUCACGUCUGCUGUGGAAACGCAACGCUUAACGUUGCGCGUGCAGUGGGUACGGGCUGACUAGAGUGCAGUAGGGGAGUCUGGAAUUCCUGGUGUAGCGGUGAAAUGCGCAGAUAUCAGGAGGAACACCGGUGGCGAAGGCGGGACUCUGGGCUGUAACUGACACUGAGGAGCGAAAGCAUGGGGAGCGAACAGGAUUAGAUACCCUGGUAGUCCAUGCCGUAAACGUUGGGCA
rnacentral:rRNA from 1 species